UAAGGAGUGUGUAACAACUCA
rnacentral:snRNA from 1 species